UACGGAGGGUGCAAGCGUUAUCCGGAUUCACUGGGUUUAAAGGGUGCGUAGGCGGACAGGUAAGUCAGUGGUGAAAUCUCCGGGCUUAACCCAGAAACUGCCGUUGAUACUAUUUGUCUUGAAUAUCCUGGAGGUAGGCGGAAUAUGUCAUGUAGCGGUGAAAUGCUUAGAUAUGACAUAGAACACCGAUAGCGAAGGCAGCUUACUACAGGAUGAUUGACGCUGAGGCACGAAAGCGUGGGGAGCAAACAGG
rnacentral:rRNA from 1 species